rnacentral:tRNA from 1 species
GGAAGGGUGGCCGAGCGGCUGAAGGCAGCGGUUUGCUAAGUCGUAUCGAGGGUUCGAAUCCCUCUCCUUCCG